AAGUACCUCACGUCCACACGAAGCUUCGAAUCCCCGACUACCGCAUAGAGCGACUUUACUUGCGUCCCGGAUCGAAGGUGUUCACGGACUCGUCCCUGAACAGCAAGCGAUGGAAAGGAGCGGAGUGACCAUUCAGUACCGCGAACACCUGUCUCGAAAACUUCAAGAAACGAGAAUUAGGAAAAGAAAAUCCCACUGAGUCAAAAAUGGGUCGGAAGAUCGGAGAAAUUUCUGUGGAGGUGAUCGAUUUGGUGCAGAGGGAGAAGGAAGAGGAGAAGAAGGGACACGCUUCUGCCAUGAGCUUGUCCUUUCGAAUGCCAAGGAUUCCUCCAGCGUCAAUGGAAAGCCAUCUGGUGGCAAAAUAUAAUUUCCAUCAAUAUGCGGUUGCAACAUCCUUAGGCAACAAUCACGGACAGACUGGGCAACCGAAUAGCAUGGCCAACUCUCCGUAGUUUUGCACCUGUAAUGGAGACCAGAGCUGCCUUCGUGUCACGCGGAGAUCGUGCAUGCGAUGGCCAGACUGGGCCUUAGGUGGCCCGAAGAUUGUCUUGUUCUCAACCGCAAUAAAUUAAACUCAAAUAGAA
rnacentral:lncRNA from 1 species